UUCCAUUUACAAUUUUUUGCUAAACAUCGAGACCCGAGCGGCUAUCUUAAUUUGUGCUUCGAUCAAAUUUUAGUUACCUUUUGUAAGUUAUUUUCGUUUCGGAAAGUAUACAUUUGUUUUGGAUUACCGUUCACCAAACAGUCAGUCACAAACUGGUAAAUAUUAUUGAAGUUCUAUUUCAUAGCUUAUGUUGUAUUGAACAUUAUUAGCAGUUUUCAGUUAUAAGUAUGAAGGUCAUAUUAUUAUGGUUAGACUUAAAAAUUUGAAAAUAUUCAAUGACAUUAUCCCGAUUGUUGCCAUUAUAAAACAAUUAUUUGUUUUUAAUCAUUAUUUAAACAUAUUUGAAUCAUAUAAAUAAUUAAAAAAUAAUUUAUUUUUGUGUUUAAUGUGAAAUCAAUAAAUUUCAUUUAAAAAAAAACUAAACUUGUAUAAUUGUAUAUUAUACUACCUAUAGAAGUACUAAAAAUCACCGGGACUAGGAUUCAAACCCAAGUUUUGCUUGCUGUAAGACUGUUCUACCAAAUGAGCUACUGGGGGCCUGAUUCCUAACACUCCACUGUACUUAAACAGUCUAAUGUCAAAUCAGAGGUUAGUGGAGUGACAUGGUAUAUGGUUAAGGGGACAUUACAGUUGUUAAGGUGAUGUGUUAAGUACUUAUUGAAAACUGAAAACCCUAAAUUUGAUUCAUGAAUAUUUCUGAUUAGUUUUAACAUUAAAUAUUUGUGUAAUACAUUGAAUACCUAUAUUAUUUUUAAGUUUACAUGAAAUUGUGUUUUAGAAUCAUGUCGUCUACUGCUGUUGUUAAAAAAUUAGUAAGACCACAAUUUCGUGGAAACUUUGAACAAAAAACAAAGUUUCAUCUUGGGUUAAGUAUUGGAUUAUCUAUCAUAGUUGGCUUAGGUUACAAAUAUGGCAUUGGUGAACCCCGUAAAAAGGCGUACGCAGAGUUCUACAAGUGAGUCAAAUUGUUUUGCUAUCUUAAUAAGUGUAAAUGGUAUUAUUAAUUGACUUCAUAUUUUAUUUUAUAGAAAUUAUGAUGCCGAUAAAGACUUUGAAAGGAUGAGAAAACUAGGACUUUUUUCUUCUUGUCCUGCUGAUGAUUAAAAAUCCUGUCAUGUUACUAAUUAGUUGUUCUAUGUAAAUUUAUUUGAUCAGAAACAUAAAUGCACUUUUGAAUACACCUUUGUAUUAAUAAAAUAUAAUUAAUUAUUAUGUAUUACUGAUUGUAUUAAACAAUUUACAUGUGUUUGAGUAAAAACCAUGAGUUUAGUUCAAUUUUAACAGUAAAUUACCUAUGAAAACUUUAUUCUUCAUUUAUUCUAGUAGUAUAAAAACCUAUUAAUUUAUUAGCAGUUUGGUUGGAAAAAAAAUUGUUCAAUUUUCUUGGUAUAUCCAUAUGCCUAUUA
rnacentral:lncRNA from 1 species